rnacentral:rRNA from 1 species
AACGCGAAGAACCUUACCUGGGUUUGACAUCCCCGGACCGGUGUGGAGACACAUCUUUCGUAGCAAUACGACCGGGAGACAGGUGCUGCAUGGCUGUCGUCAGCUCGUGUGGUGACAUGUUGGGUUAAGUCCCGCAACGAGCGCAACCCCUGUCCUUAGUUGCCAGCAUUCAGUUGGGCUCUCUAAGGAGACUGCCGUGGUUAACACGGAGGAAGGUGGGAAUGACGUCAAGUCCUCAUGGCCUUUAUAUCCAGGGCGACACACGUGAUACAAUGGUCGGUACAAAGGGAAGCCAAGGAGCGAUCCGGAGCCAAUCCCAAAAAGCCGAUCUCAGUUCGGAUUGGAGUCUGCAACUCGACUCCAUGAAGUUGGAAUCGCUAGUAAUCGCGGAUCAGCACGCCGCGGUGAAUACGUUCCCGGGCCUUGUACACACCGAGUAUA